CCCAGCAGCACUUGCUCUGAAGGAACACUUGGUUCAUCAGAAGAAAAAAAGCCCAUUGUUGUCACCAUCUCAAAUCUGUUGGGUAGAUACCACAGCCGGGUCUUCGCAUGAUCCCCCUGUCUGCAGUUAGCAGAGCUGUCAUGCUGUGUGGCCGUGGAAUGAUCUCCAGAUUUCAUGUGAUGCCAAUGAAGUACAGGAAAAACUGGACUCCCAGAAACCACCACAAAGUAAUCACUCUCCCAUCUCUGCUUGGUACCUUUGAAAGGCCUUAAGGGAAAUGCAAACAGUCCUGUAGAAUGAAAUCUGGGAGCAAUGAGGAAGAAGGACCCAGGGAGAUCGUGUCCGUGUCUGCAGCCAGCCUGGGGAAGAGAAGCCUAAGAGAUAGCUGUGUCCCUAGAUUCUUCCACAAGCACAUCUCAGGCAGCCAAAAAGAUUGUGUUGAAUUUUAUGUUCUGUGGGUUUCUUUCCAAAAUAAUAGAUAUGGAGUUUGCAAUCUCCCCCGUGAGAAGAAUAUGUUUUGGGAAGAAUGGGAGUCAUAUGGAAGUGACUUGAACCCAACUCUCAGCCUGGAGUCAGGCUCAGUCUAGAGAAGCUGAUCCCUAGACAACCUGCAGAUACAUGAGUAAGAAAUAAAGACC
ensembl:lncRNA novel transcript, antisense to CEMIP